CCCCACCUGUACCCAUCUCGAACACAGAAGUUAAGCCUUUCAGCGCCGACGAUAGCAGGUAGACUUUUCCUGUGAAAAUAGGUCAUUGCCGGGU
rnacentral:rRNA from 1 species